rnacentral:rRNA from 1 species
UUGGAGGGCAAGUCUGGUGCCAGCAGCCGCGGUAAUUCCAGCUCCAAUAGCGUAUAUUAAAGUUGCUGCAGUUAAAAAGCUCGUAGUUGAAUUUCGGGACCAAUAUGUCGGUCGUGCCUCGGUACGUACUGGCAUCGUUGGUUUCUCCCUUCUGACGAACCAUGAUGUCAUUUAUUUGGUGUCGUGGGGAAUCAGGACUGUUACUUUGAAAAAAUUAGAGUGUUUAAAGCAGGCUCACGCUUGAAUACAUUAGCAUAGAAUAAUGAAAUAGGACGUUUGAUUCUAUUUUGUUGGUUUCUAGGAUUGACGUAAUGAUUAAUAGGGAUAGUUGGGGGCAUUAGUAUUCAAUUGUCAGAGGUGAAAUUCUUGGAUUUAUUGAAGACUAACUACUGCGAAAGCAUUUGCCAAGGAUGUUUUCAUUAAUCAAGAACGAAAGUUAGGGGAUCGAAGACGAUCAGAUACCGUCGUAGUCUUAACCAUAAACUAUGCCGACUAGGGAUCGGAUGAUGUUAAUUUUUUAAUGACUCAUUCGGCGCCUUACGGGAAAC